rnacentral:rRNA from 1 species
AGAGUUUGAUCCUGGCUCAGGAUGACCUCUAGCGGCAGGCUUAACACAUGCAAGUCGAGGGGCAGCGGGGAGGAAGCUUGCUUUCUCCGCCGGCGACCGGCGCACGGGUGAGUAACACGUAUGCAACCUGCCCCUGUCAGGGGGACAACCCGCCGAAAGGCGGGCUAAACCCGCGUACAUGCCACCGGGGCAUCCCGGAGGCAGGAAAGGCUUCGGCCGGACAGGGAUGGGCAUGCGGCGCAUUAGGCAGUAGGCGGGGUAACGGCCCACCUAACCGACGAUGCGUAGGGGUUCUGAGAGGAAGGUCCCCCACACUGGUACUGAGACACGGACCAGACUCCUACGGGAGGCAGCAGUGAGGAAUAUUGGUCAAUGGUCGGGAGACUGAACCAGCCAAGCCGCGUGAGGGAGGAAGGUACAGAGUAUCGUAAACCUCUUUUGUCAGGGAACAAAGGCGGGGACGUGUCCCCGGAUGAGUGUACCUGAAGAAAAAGCAUCGGCUAACUCCGUGCCAGCAGCCGCGGUAAUACGGAGGAUGCGAGCGUUAUCCGGAUUUAUUGGGUUUAAAGGGUGCGCAGGCGGUCUGUUAAGUCAGCGGUCAAAGCCCGGGGCUCAACCCCGGCCCGCCGUUGAAACUGGCAGUCUCGAGUUGGAGAGAAGUAUGCGGAAUGCGCGGUGUAGCGGUGAAAUGCAUAGAUAUCGCGCAGAACUCCGAUUGCGAAGGCAGCAUGCCCGGCUCCACACUGACGCUGAGGCACGAAAGCGUGGGGUAUCGAACAGGAUUAGAUACCCUGGUAGUCCACGCAGUAAACGAUGAAUGCUGGCUGUCCGGGGGGAUUGACCCCUGGGUGGCGAAGCGAAAGCGAUAAGCAUUCCACCUGGGGAGUACGCCGGCAACGGUGAAACUCAAAGGAAUUGACGGGGGCCCGCACAAGCGGAGGAACAUGUGGUUUAAUUCGAUGAUACGCGAGGAACCUUACCCGGGCUCAAACGGGGAGUGACUCAGGCAGAGACGCCUGUUUCCCACGGGACACUCCCCGAGGUGCUGCAUGGUUGUCGUCAGCUCGUGCCGUGAGGUGUCGGCUUAAGUGCCAUAACGAGCGCAACCCCCGCGUGCAGUUGCUAACAGAUAACGCUGAGGACUCUGCACGGACUGCCGGCGCAAGCCGCGAGGAAGGCGGGGAUGACGUCAAAUCAGCACGGCCCUUACGUCCGGGGCGACACACGUGUUACAAUGGGUGGUACAGCGGGAAGCCAGGCGGCGACGCCGAGCGGAACCCGAAAUCCACUCUCAGUUCGGAUCGGAGUCUGCAACCCGACUCCGUGAAGCUGGAUUCGCUAGUAAUCGCGCAUCAGCCAUGGCGCGGUGAAUACGUUCCCGGGCCUUGCACACACCGCCCGUCAAG